rnacentral:rRNA from 1 species
AUUGAACGCUGGCGGCAUGCCUUACACAUGCAAGUCGAACGGCAGCAUGGAGAGCUUGCUCUCUGAUGGCGAGUGGCGAACGGGUGAGUAAUGCAUCGGAACGUACCGUGUAAUGGGGGAUAACGUAGCGAAAGUUACGCUAAUACCGCAUACGACCUGAGGGUGAAAGCAGGGGAUCGCAAGACCUUGCGUUAUACGAGCGGCCGAUGUCAGAUUAGCUAGUUGGUGAGGUAAAGGCUCACCAAGGCGACGAUCUGUAGCGGGUCUGAGAGGAUGAUCCGCCACACUGGGACGGGGACACGGCCCAGACUCCUACGGGAGGCAGCAGUGGGGAAUUUUGGACGAUGGGGGCAACCCUGAGCCAGCCAUGCCGCGUGAGUGAAGAAGGCCUUCGGGUGGUAAAGCUCUUUCGGCCGGGAAGAAAUCGCACAGGCUAAUACUCUGUGUGGAUGACGGUACCGGCAUAAGAAGCACCGGCUAACUACGUGCCAGCCGCCGCCGUAA